rnacentral:rRNA from 1 species
UACGAAGGGGGCUAGCGUUGUUCGGAAUUACUGGGCGUAAAGGGCGCGUAGGCGGGUGCUCAAGUCCGUGGUGAAAUCCUCCGGCUCAACCGGAGAACUGCCUCGGAUACUGGGUGCCUCGAGGGUGGUAGGGGUAUGCGGAACUAUCGGUGGAGCGGUGAAAUGCGUUGAUAUCGAUAGGAACUCCGGUGGCGAAGGCGGCAUACUGGACCACCUCUGACGCUGAGGCGCGAAAGCCAGGGGAGCAAACGGG